UGCAGAAUCCCGUGAACCAUCGAGUCUUUGAACGCAAGUUGCGCCCGAAGCCUUUAGGCCGAGAGCACGCCUGCCUGGGCGUCA
rnacentral:rRNA from 1 species